rnacentral:rRNA from 1 species
AAACGCCCGGGAAUUACGAGCGCAAGCUUAAAACCCAAAGGAUUUGACGGUGUCUCACCCAUCUAGAGGAGCCUGUUCUAUAAUCGAUACUCCACGAUAUACCUUACCACUUUUAGCCCCAUCAGCCUGUAUACCUCCGUCGACAACUUACCAUUUGAAUGUAACAAAGUUAGUUCAAUGGCCUUCACACCAACACGUCAGGUCAAGGUGCAGCCUAUAAAGUGGAAAGCAAUGGGCUACAAUUUCUAAUAUAGAACAAACGAAAUACUACAUGAAAUAUAGUCAUGAAGGCGGAUUUAGUAGUAAAAGAAGAAUAAUAAACUUCUUUAAAUAUGGCUCUGAGACGUGUACAAACCGCCCGUCACCCUCUUCAAUAAUACCCCUUAGCUUCCUAACAUUUUUAAACAUACUAGAAGAGGCAAGUCGUAACAUGGUAAGUGUACUGGAAAGUGUACUUGGUUAAACAAAGUAUAGCUUAGCCAAAGCCUUUCGCUUACACCGAAAAAUCAUCUGUUCAACCCAGAUUACUUUGAGCCCUAAAUCUAGCCUACACUAUUUCUUAUGCUAACAUCAACUAAUUAAUAUAUAAUAAAACAUUUUUAUGCUUUAGUAAAGGAGAU